rnacentral:lncRNA from 1 species
AAGGAAACAUCAAUGGUCUGGUCUUACGAGGAUGCAGAUCCUGAUUUCGGAUCAUGUCAGGCUAAAGAACUUCUUGAUCACCUAGAAAGUGUACUGGCUAACGAACCUGUCACUGUACGGAGUGGACAGAAUAUAGUGGAAGUUAAGCCCCAGGUAUGUGUUUUUUCAAUUUUGGGGGAGGAGGUCUGCUUGUACUACCUUAGUGAAAGCACUUCGAUAUCUUGCUUGCAUAAUGCAUGAGUUAAAGCUAAACUGUUAUUUUAAAAGGUAGAUGCCUUUGGGUAUAUCUUGGUUUGUUCUUUAGAGGCCCGGCGAUGCGUUUGUGAGGCGAAAGACUGGGUUUCAAUCUUAAUUGUAGAUUCUCAGUGGAAAACUGUCAAACUGGUUGCAUAU